rnacentral:lncRNA from 1 species
CCUGAGAUGGCUUCUGCUUCUGUUCCGGUGGCUUUGUCUCUGACCUCUGUCACGCACAGCAAGCCUUCAUGCCAAGCCUUCUUCAGGCCAUUACCCCUACCACAACCAAAGAAGACCCUCUCAACAAAGCCACUGUCAAACUCCAACCUUCAAAUUAAUGCAUCUUUGAAGGAGAAGGCAGUGACAGGACUCACAGCCGCAACCUUCACAGCCUCUAUGGUGAUCCCAGAGGUGGCUCUUGCUGCUGGAUCCGACUUCUCCCCUUCUCUCAAGAACUUUCUAUUCAGCAUCUUCGCUGGUGGGGUUGUGCUAGUAGCCAUACUUGGAGCAGUUGUUGGAGUUUCCAACUUUG